GCUUGGAGCUGUUGGUGGUGGUCGGUGACGGGAGGAUCGAGGAGUGUGGUGCCGGCUGCAGGUUCGCAGUGGCGGUGGCAUCAUUCCCUUUUCUCAGACGGUAAUUGCCUGGAAACUUAAGAAGGCAGCCCUACAGCAUGUGACUCAUGGGAGUGUGGGCUCCGCCGUCAGGUUCUUGCUACGGCUACCACCUCAUCGGUCAUGUAUUCGGGUACGGGUCGCUGAAUUCUUCUUAGUUUAACAUCGUAAGAGGGAUCCAAAACCCUUCUUUUUUGUGUUUGUGAUUUCGUGAGAUCUCUUCGAGCCUUCUCCGCUGGCCGUCAGCGGAUGCUCCGCCGAUAGCACAGGGUGGGGCCGCGCAGCUUCACUGGGACGUGAUCGACCCCGUGACGAGAUGUCGCGGUGAAGGGGCAUUCCACCCAGUCGAAUCGUUCGUCUUUCCGGCGAGACCCAUGACCUCUGCUUCGUUCACCUUGUGUUUUCCCUCCUAAUUUUUGGUCGAUUGAAUUGCUUUCGUUCACUAAUCAUUGUCCUACAUGGUCAGAUCUUGAGGCAAAAACCUGAUUUUUACUGUUUAAAUGAUCAAUUAUUUGAUAUUGCCUGUGAUUCAUUGCCUUUUUCGGAGAUCUGAAGAUGCCUGAUGAAGACCGUGUAGCCAUAGAAAUCGUGUUUGUGCAGGAAACAAACAAUCUAGAAGAAAGGCAAAAUUAUGCUUCAAUGCAUGUGAACUCGAUGAAGUGUUAUGGACAGACCAAAUCGAUUUUUACAUCGAUAAUACUGAUCUUAGGCAAUUUCAGCUAAUAUCAAUUGCUUUGUAGUAUACCUCAUAUGGAUCUGAUCACAUUUUACCUGCUUAAAUUGGGACUUAAUUACAAAUCAUUUCUGUGACUCUAGCAAUCCAUCUGUUUCCAUCCACUUGAACUUUGUAUACAAGCUACUUCUUCUUUGGUUUUGUUUCGUAGUAUUGUCGUCUAUAUCAAUGCUCAUGUGUUAGUACUGUCAUAUACAUCAAUGCUCAAGCUUUCCUCAGGAAUGUCAAAUUUGGAACUAAUCCUACAGUUUGCAUGACAAUAGGCAUGCCCUUCCUAUUUUUCAUAUUCACUUUGAUGCGUUUUUAUGGUUCUUGCAAGGUGGCCUGCUGACUUUGGUUUAGUGACAAUGGUCUGUUUUUUUUUUUUUUGGUAAGUAGUGACAAUGGUCUGUUGGUUAUCGAAAGUUGGUAACUUUGGAGUGGGAUAUUAUUAUUAAUGUUGCACAAGCUACUAAAAGGGGUGAGCCUUGGUACAAUGAUGAUGUUACUCUUUUAUGACCUAGGUGAUUAAUAUAUGAGUCAUAGAGAUAGCCUUUCUAUUUGUAGGGUUAAGGUUGGGUCCAUUGGCGCUCUUAGGAUAUCACAUUGGCAGGCAUCUCAAACAAGGAAUUCAUCUUUUUGGACAAGCUACUGUAAGUGUUAUACAGAUAAUUGAGAACACAUGGUUCCCUAUAUGAAUGUUGUCCUUUAGGUUAUUACGAGAAGCUCAAUGCAAGAGGAAGUCAUGAAACCAAUUAAAAGGUCUGGAGACAUGAACUUCAUUUUAACAUCUCUUUGUACACCUAUUGUUUCUUAUAACAAGGAACUUCUUAAGCUUUCCAUUAUCUUGAGGUUUUCAGCAAAGUCUCUAUCCUCUAAUUGAAAGUUGACUGAUUCUUUGUCAUCCAAAGCAUUUGAACUUUCAGUUCCUAGAGUUUCUUAUCAUCACAACCUCAUUCUGCACAUCCAUAUUGUUGUGGUGUGUCUUCUUGAUUAACUUGUGCUCAAGUCAUUGAUGUCAAUGUUUUUACCACUGGCUUGCUCAGUUUCUGCAAGAAUGUUACACAGUUGCGGAACUAAUUUACAAGAGUAAAUGGUGCCAGUGAGCUGUUCGUUAGGAAGCUUUAGCCAAGAUUCCUAUCAAACUAAUCAACUAUUUGUUUCCUACCUUUGAUUUUUCAACCUCUCAUCUUGACCUUGGAUACAUUUCAGAACAUUAUUCUUUUCAGGUUAUUGUUGAAGAUUUGAAUUUUGUCAAACCAUAUAGAGAUUCAUCAUAAGUCCAUGGAGCCUAGGAGUUCAAUAAUUGGAAAAAAAAAAAAAAUCAAAAACUCCCAUUUUCAGUAAGGUUUUUAACUUGAUAUUUAAACUUAGCUAGUGUUUUGCAGCAUUAGUUUGAAUCAUAAUUCCCCCUGUUUCUGGUGCAUUUGAACGGGGAAGAAUUCUCAUAGUAUCUUGAUUAAUAACCAUUACGUUGAUGCAUUUUUUAUUAGUCUCUCCUGCUUGAGUAGAUGCAGUGGACAAUGAAGAGGACUACAGAGACCACCUCACUUGUGGCAGGUAUUCUUUGCAAAUCCUUACCUUACGAAUGGCAAGGUUAAUAAGCAAGGGAAGCUACAUUCAGAUUUACAGAUUUUCAGACGCAAGAAUCCCCACGAGUUCCUGUGACUGAGGCCGGAUGACCCUCCUUUGAUAAGAAGGCAGCUGCUACUGUAUGAUUGGAGUAUGAUGAUAUUUGGAUCAGUCUAGGUUGUCACUCAAAGGUGCAUGAAUGAAAAAUGAAGGCUCUCUUGUGAAGUUGCUACUAUCAAGUGAAUGAUUGAUUAAGGAACUCAUUAGGGUCGAACUGAAGAUUGUGAUUGCUGAUGUUCCUAAUACAAUAGAAGGGUUUUGAUCACCUUGCUGAAGUCCAAGAUAGUAUUGGAAGCAUUAACAAGGACCAAGUGUUGAAGGCUCAUGAAAGUGAAAUUAUUAAAGAAAAUGAGAGGUUCUUUGCGUUAAUUACUGAUAAUAUAGAAGGAGGUAUCUUCUGAAAUGUAAUCAUCUCAUUUCUCAGUACCAUGUGGCUACAAGCAGAAGGUGGAGUGAACAAAGUGGACAUAUCAGCCAAUGUAGUGCUUUCCUUUGGUUGAAUAGCAUACUUCUGGGGAUAAUUAUAGAGAAUCUGGAGUUCAGCAAUUACUAAAGAUGACACAUAGGUUUAAACUUCACCGUCUGAUCAGAGAUGAUGUGCAACAUCAGCUUUAUGCGAACCCCAUGCAACCAUGUCUUGUGUGGUGAAAUUAGAAAGUACCAGAAGUAGCAUUGAUUCUGCAGAACUUCUGCACUGGCUAGCGGAUGAAAUAAUCCACUAUUGGUACUGCUCAUAGAGACAGGCCUUCAGAAUUUUUACCAGAUGGUGAGUGAAAUAAUCCUGUAAAUAUUAUGUAAAGCAUACUGUUGUUGGGGAUCUUGAUGACAUCUGCUAGACAUUGGAUGCCACCUAAGUUCUUGCAGUUAUAAUUAUCAUGAAUUAAUGGGUUCCCAAGAUAUUUUAGUUGCUGAAGUUCCAUGGUUAGUUGGAAUUGAACAUUUUAUAUCAUCAACUGCUGUAUCAUUUGACCUGAAACUACCAUAAGCUGGCUAAGCUAGUAAAUUGACUGCAUAAAGUUACAUGCUGAGGGUGGCAAUGCAAGUGUCAGUAGCAUUGUGGUAAUAUUGAACUUUUGCUGUCUUUUCUCAUUCCUCUAAAGAAAUGUACAUGGGCAAAAAAUUCUCAUUUUUCC